CCCAAACUUAUCCUUUCGGCUUUCAGGCCCAGUUCAAAUCUCGUCCAAAAAAAUGAAGGCCAUCCUUAUUCAAAUCGAUUAUUAUUCAAGAUUCUCCGUACUACUUCCACAUCGAAGAUCUUACUUAUGACGAUGUCGACGGUGCUGAAAGGUAAUCGACCUCCUUCAUUUCGACUUUGUGCUGCUGGCGAGGAAGUAGCGGUAGCACCGGGUUGCGACUGAUGACGACGGUUCGUUGGAAUCACUCCGUCGUGAUGGUUCUAAUGCGGAGAACUUUACCUUUAGUCUAUGGCUUUACUGUUCUUCCUUCGCCUUCUGGUCAUUUUGUCCGCCUUUAACUUGCCGCUUUUCAUCAUCCGGUCUAUGUGAUGUUGGACAGGAUUUCGUCCAUCAGCUGCAUCGACUCCGUUAAGGCUCAAGCAUCCGCCAUCAUUUUUCGGAAAACGAAAAGCAGUUUUUUUACUGUAAAUCAAAACAAUGGCCAUGAAAAUAUAUUCACUGUAUUCCAUUCCUCAUGUGGAAUGCAGUGAAUACAUUUUCAUGGCAAAAUCUAUUGUUUUGAACGAGAAAACUGCUUUUAAAUUCUUGAUGAUGGCAAUGAUUUCAAUGACGAAUGCUCCAACGUUAAACGCGGCGGUUCGAAGCUCCGGAGAAAACGUACCUGGUUGUCCGAUGUUGCUGGUUCUGCUCCGCACUGUGACGAUGGUGACGAUAAGCAUUGCCUGAAAAUGUAAAUAUAAACAUCGGCAAAACAAUGAUGCCAGUAAAAUAAAAAAUGAUAAUGGUGGUGCAUAUGAAAGGUGUCGAAAAGGUGUCGAAAGGUGUUUUAGGUGUGUGAAAUGGGUGUUUCACACAAGGUGUCAGAGUUUCCAACCCCUUGUGUAAAUCUUUUUGCCAACAUUGCGACGUCUCUCCAGAUUCUUCAGAUUCGAGGGAUGACUUAAAGAGAAUCUCCUCAUUACAACUUAAAAAGGGAAGCAAUACAAAACACUUUUGGUUCAAUGGCCAAAUCUGUCCGGACUUCAUGAGGACAUAUGCAGGUGCAUUGGCCGGUAUGGAAAAAGAAAGAUUACUUCCAAACACAUCAUGAGGUCCGACCUAGGGUCCGACCAGCAACUAAAUCAAAUGACGUCUACGAUGCAGCAAAACACAACAGCUGCUUUGAUUAUCUUUGUUAUAAUCGUUCGAUUUCCCUGCGCAAGAAGGCGCUGUUGUCGAAUAAAUGUGUUCGCCGAUGAACUGUAUGGGAAAAGCAAAAGUGGGUUAUCUUGUACUUAAAAAUCUUUGUUUGGAGUUACUCGAUUUUAGCAGUGCCACUACCGAAACAAUUCAAGCAUGGAACGAAAAAAGAGAACGGAUGUCCCGGAAGCAAGCGAAGAAGAUUGAACGGUUACUUAGUAAGCAUAAAUAGUCUCCACAUUCUGUAUCUGUUUUGACUCACCAUUACCCUCUGGAGACGAACCAGCCUUGGGCUGAAAGUCUCGAUAAUAAAGACAUAAAAUAAAAACUCUCUUUCUGUUUUCAUGCUAUCUGGUGCUUCACCUGGGUUGACGAAACACUUCUCUUCAACCCAGGCUAAACGGCAGAUAGGAUGAAAACAGAAACAGAGUGAGAGAGAUGCGGAUAAAAGAUGCAUAAAUAAUAGUAAUUCCGUGUAUACUUUUAUUUCUGAGUGUGAGAGGAAAUUUCACUGGAAAAAGUCAAAGUAACCGUGCGAAAAUUAUUUUUUCAAUGGAUUUAUUAUCAAUUUUGAUAAAAAUCAAAGUCCGAUCGCAGCUCACUUUGGAAGCUGCGCACUUAUAUGCACUUUGACGAUAAAGUACCCAAAUGUAAGUAAAAGAAUGUCGAAAUGUUUUACACAUAAAAACGAGAAAAUUUAAGCGCAUAUACAUCGUCGAGAUACUUUUUUAUUUCAAUUCAUAACAGUAAUGUUCAUAAUAAAUAAAAAUAAAGCAGUAGAGUGCAAUUUGUGCAAAUAAAAUUUCUAAAUUCCUCGUUGCACAAUAUUUUCGUGAAAAUUGCCCUUUUUAGAUUGGUGUGUAAGUCGUCCCGUUGAUCUGUUUGUUUACGGUUUGAAGACGUCGCCGAUUUUAUGAAUGAAAUUUGACAGGAAGUUGUUACGUUUAAGUCUGUUCCAAGGUUUCGAGUACAUUUGUAAACUAAAUUAAUGCUAGAACGAAGUAGAUUAGAGAACCCAUUGCUCCGCACGCCACAUUUUGAACACCCCUGCGAAAGCGAUUUCAUCUCAACCCAACCACCGAAACGGCAAUCAUCACGUUACACAGUGGGCUGCCAUCAGUGUCGCAAACAGUCAUUGAGAGAGCGUGAGAAUGGUAUGGAGUCAACCCGCACUCGAUAAUAUGCACAAGCGAUCGCCGCAACAGACUCGACGACGACGACGACGACGUUGGUGUCCGUCCACACGAAAGAACAGGGAGCAUAAUCGUGUGAGAAGUUCGGCAGCAGAGAAACGCUUACGCUUAGCCUCGGCAGCAAACACGACGGAGCGAGCAAGAUAAAAAGCAUUGCUUCUCUUCACGCCGCUCUGAGUAAUUCGCACCAAUACUUUCGCGGACGGCAGUCAGAGGUGGGAACAGAGAAGUCAAGUCGAUGACGAGGAUCAGUUCCAUCUAGUGAGCAGGCCACAUCACACGGUAGAUCCACGUCGGCCGAGAACAAAAACCGUCUCCACCACAGUUUGCAGGAGGAAAAGCGCGUGGGUUUGGUGGAUCUACGAAAACUGAUAUUCUGGUCCCAAGUGAGUGUUAAUUUGAACCGUUAAACCCGUGUGGAAGUGAGCAAUUACGUCGUGGUCUGUGGACGGUCGUUGGUCCUCGCGAACAUCCAUAUUGGAUUGGCACAGUUGGGUGCUCGUCCGAUCCAGAGUGAAGCCUCUGAUCCGCCAUCUUAAAACAUCGAUUGGGGGAAUUUCCCACGUGUUUGAAAGCAAGUUUUUCCCACCUUUUGACGAGCGAUCCGGACAGAGCACUGACGUCCGUGCCAGCAGACUAGUGCUACAGUGUGGUCUCACAAGAUUGGGACAGUGACAGGAGAACACCGAGAUUGAUCAGCAGGAAACCAACUGGUAAGAAAACCAGACACAGCCUUGGGCAACAGCACUGAUUGUUCUCGCUUCCACAGUUUGUACAGUGUCACCUCAUCGCAUUCGUACAGCGAAAGAGCAAGACCGCUCACGGAGUUCCUUGGGCCGUCGCAAACGCGAACAUAAACCGGUAAGAACACCACAGAUCUCCUCAGCCGCUGUUUCUAAAUGUACGCCGAUUAUUUCGCAGUACUCUCGCUGGGUUCGACGGAAGGAAGAGCAAUUACCUCUGGACACCCCUCUAAGAGAUUCGAGGCCGCCAGCCGAAAGGCAUAAACAAAGCCUUCCACAGGAAGUAAGUGGAUUGACCUGAUGCGAAGCCGGUCUAGAAGCUAACGUUGCGGCGCCUUAGGGCUUUGUUUUUUUAUUCGCAGCUCAUCCAUCAACGGUUGGAGGCAACAGAUACUCAGAGGAAGCGAUUGCCCAGUAGCGACGAUUGGUCAGCAGCGAGCGGAAUCGGGACGAGUGGGCACACGGUUCGCGGGUGUCGGCCGUACCAACGGAUACCACCGAACCACACUCCACCAGGAGAGCCGCCGGGGGAGUUAGACCCUGGCAAAGGCGGAUCGAAACGGAUCCGAGGACACCGGCGCGACGCUGGCACGGCGGGGUUUGAACCAUGCGCAGGAGGGUGACGCCGGCGAUGAUGGCUGCGGGCGGAGCAGCAAUGUGGUAGGGGCGCCCCAAGAGUGAGUACAGAGAAAAUGUAUAAUUAGAAUGUAAGAGGAAUAGCUAGAGAAAAGAAAGGAUAAGCAAGGAAGGAUAGGAAGAGGAGGCAGGAUGAUUAGGAGGAGGAAUCCAGAAUAAAUGUAAUUUCUGAAAAUUCUUUGCUUUGUGGAUUUUGAUUUCAGUUUUGUGGCUUUUCCCUGAGCUCUUCGGGACUGCUGAGGGCUUCCAUUCCCCCCUUAGCAGGAACCUUGCAACAAAGUAGCGUCCAAUAACCCGUGAAAAUCAAUAUCAUCAUCAACAUUGUUGUCAAUUCGUAAAAUGGCACCUUAUUUAACCUCACUUUUUUGCGAGGGGAAUGGCAGAUCCGGAUUUUUUGUGAAUUUCGCUACUUUUCCUCCAAACUCCCAAAUGAUAGCUUCUAAUAUCGUUUUCGUUUUUGCGGCGGUGCUACACCGCUUCGUGCUACACUUUUCGCUGAAUAAACGAACAUUUUCGGUGCAGUUGCAUUGGUGUGCGUGUAUAAACAUCAAAAUAUUGACAACUUCGCAAACGCUGAUUGGUGGACACGGUGUGCACCUGCUACACUCCCGAUUUUUUGAGUGCUACACUAUCAUGCGCGGUGCAGAAAAAGUGCUGCACCGGUGUAGCACGAAAAUCAAAAACGAACAUUUUCGGUGCAAAAGUGCUACACCGGUGUAGCUCCACCGCAAAAACGAAAACGACAUAAGAAAUUAUUUUUUUCAUAUCCUUCCCAAGGGGUUGGAAACUCUGCCCGAAUAAAAAAUACAGUAGAAAAACCGAACGUUGUAUUGUAACAGUACUAUUUAAAACCAUAUUUUUACAAUAGAAACCACUGUAAAAAUAAAAAUAUAAAAACAAUAAAAUGUAAUGUAGAACACCAUACAGUAAAUUGUAAAUAAGAUUUUUACAAUAUACUAUACGGGUUGUUAAGUAUCGUAACAAUAUAAAAAAAUAUUUUUCUCCAUAUAUAUUUUUUUGCAAAACCAUACAUUGUAUUGUAAAUGAAUUGUUAUAAAUACUGAUACGUGGGUUUUAAUAAACCGUACAUUGUAUGGUACACAUAUGGUUUCAAACAACAAAAUGUACCGUAAAUAUAUUGUUUUUAAUUGUAGUUUCACCACUGGUUAUACAUUUAAUUAAAUGGUUUUGGAAUGGUUCUCUUUUGUUAUGUUGUAUUGGUUUACAUUACAUAAACCAUGUAAUGUUAUAUUAUCUUGUCAUUUUCCUCCUGUUAAUGGCAUCUUAGGCUUACUAGCAUUAUGAGAAUGCGCUUUGGGAAUUCUCCAGAGCGUUUUGAAUAACCUUUCAUAUAUUGGAUCGCCCACGUCUAAGUCUGAGUCGAGGUCUGAGUAAUCUCUGAUUGCAUUAACAGUUGAAGCUUAGGCUCCCAUGCCCCACCAGCCAGAUAACCGGGUUCCACAAACUAAGCAUUAUUUGUGGCAACACUUUGAGCGGCAUGAUGGAACUAUGCCGAGCGCGCUGAGCAUUAUUAGACCACUAAUGUAGUUGCAUGAAGUGGGUGACGAGGUACAUAAGUAUCAUUACAGCGUGCUUAACCGUUAUUGCAAUAUUGAGGCUCCAGUUUGACUAAAGUUUGAAAUACACUUACAUAUGUAUUUAACAACUCAUUAGAAAACUGUCAAGUUCGAUUCAAGUAUAAGUUAGGUUAAGAAGCGAACCCACAGACGAACCUAUAUUAGAAUUUCUUUCAGUAUUCAGUCCAGUCCAUAUGUUAAAGAUGGCUCUACGUCAAAGAUAAAGUUCGUCAAUCGUAUUCCUCUCAUCGCACUCUACAUACCUAGCCCGCCAUAUCUCUUGGAUCUGCGAUUCUUAAGACAUCUGGUUUACUACUUAUUCAAACAUUUUAUUGACUUUAAAUUGAUGUUUCAACUUAUUCACUUUUUUCUUUCCUUUCCUUUGCAUCAUAAAAGUCACAAAGAUCAACAAAACAAAGCACGGAAAAAAUCUAAAACUGAAUAAAUAAUUAAAAAUGCACGGAAAAAUAAUGUUUCGGGAAAGUGAAUGGUUCAAACGUAAGAAAAACAGUAUAAUAUAGUGUUACAUAAAAAUCGAAUGUAAAUGUAUAGUAGCUACAAUGUGCGAAGCUUUUAGUGAACCAUUUCAUUACAAUAUACAUUAUUGUAGCUGGUACACUGUAUGGUGCAGGAAUGGUUUUCACCAAACACCCUAUGGUUAGUUUUUAUCCGGGUGGCACCUUGAAUUGUGUCGAAAGGUGUUUCUUGGGUGUUUUUGGGUGUUUCUGUGUGCUUGACAGCAACUUUGACGUAUCUCCGCAAGACGUCAAAUUUGUUCAUCUUUUCCAAUAGGAUACUGCAAGAUGACGUCACGAAGCCGUGCACUGACAGUUCAGCGAGCUUGUUUACAUGGACUUAGUCUCUGGCGGAGAUCCGGCAAAAAUGUUUUUCGAUACAAUUUCAGUAAAACGGUAAUUAGACGAUUGGUUUUGUACUAGUAGAGUUGAAUAUAAUCGAUGUUUCUGUAUCAUAAUGGUUUCGGGAUUGCAAACGUAAAUUUAAUUUUCGCCGCUCGUUAAAAAUUCUAACACCUUGUAAACAAGCUCGCUAAACUGUCAGCAAAGUGAGGUUAGAUCAGGUGCUUGCAGUACCCUAUAGUUCAGGCAACACUUCUGGAUUAUUUUGUUGUUUCUUGAGUGAGAUUAAUACAAAAUUAUUUUAGAGCUUCUUAAAUUGGAAAUUAUUGCGGGACAAGCGACCAUACACGUUCGACUCCCUGUUAUGCUCCUACUACGUGAAUUCCUCCGCUACCUAUUUCAGACAAAUGAGAUGGAACUGAUCUUUUUCCGGGUUGUGAGCGAAAAUGUUAGGCGAAGGAUUGCACAGUGGCAUGACAAUUACAUAAGAACAGAAGACUCAGAUCGGUACCAGCGUCGGUAUGGUCGGAAGGAGUUCAAUAUUCGUUGAUCACAGCGACGUAUUUCGGAGGCGAUCGUAACGUAAUAUAAAAUCUACGGUGACUGGAAGUGGCGGAAGUGGUAACGGUGAAGCAACACACUAAGAUACUAAACAAAAUCCUGAAACGCAAUGAGGCAGGUACGGCGUCCGACUUCCACCUGAACAAACCACGAAGUAUAGUCAAUACUUCCGGAGAACCGUCGCGAGACUUGCCUGGUAAGGAUAGCUCUAGAUAGAAAGUGCUACUACGACACGUCCGAUUGGAUCCAGCAAGUACAAUUUACGACAGACAAACAUCAGAAGCUUGACC